UACGGAGGAGGCAAGCGUUAUCCGGAAUUAUUGGGCGUAAGGCGUCCGCAGGUGGCACUUCAAGUCUGUCGUCAAAGACUGGGGCUUAACCCUGGAAAGGCGGUGGAAACUGAAGCGCUAGAGUGUGGUAGGGGUAGAGGGAAUUCCCGGUGUAGCGGUGAAAUGCGUAGAGAUCGGGAAGAACAUCGGUGGCGAAGGCACUCUACUGGGCUAUUACUGACACUCAGAGACGAAAGCUAGGGGAGCAAAUGGG
rnacentral:rRNA from 1 species